rnacentral:rRNA from 1 species
ACGAACGCUGGCGGCGUGCCUAAUACAUGCAAGUCGAACGCUUCUUUUUCCACCGGAGCUUGCUCCACCGGAAAAAGAGGAGUGGCGAACGGGUGAGUAACACGUGGGUAACCUGCCCAUCAGAAGGGGAUAACACUUGGAAACAGGUGCUAAUACCGUAUAACAAUCGAAACCGCAUGGUUUUGAUUUGAAAGGCGCUUUCGGGUGUCGCUGAUGGAUGGACCCGCGGUGCAUUAGCUAGUUGGUGAGGUAACGGCUCACCAAGGCGACGAUGCAUAGCCGACCUGAGAGGGUGAUCGGCCACAUUGGGACUGAGACACGGCCCAAACUCCUACGGGAGGCAGCAGUAGGGAAUCUUCGGCAAUGGACGAAAGUCUGACCGAGCAACGCCGCGUGAGUGAAGAAGGUUUUCGGAUCGUAAAACUCUGUUGUUAGAGAAGAACAAGGAUGAGAGUAACUGUUCAUCCCUUGACGGUAUCUAACCAGAAAGCCACGGCUAACUACGUGCCAGCAGCCGCGGUAAUACGUAGGUGGCAAGCGUUGUCCGGAUUUAUUGGGCGUAAAGCGAGCGCAGGCGGUUUCUUAAGUCUGAUGUGAAAGCCCCCGGCUCAACUGGGGAGGGUCAUUGGAAACUGGGAGACUUGAGUGCAGAAGAGGAGAGUGGAAUUCCAUGUGUAGCGGUGAAAUGCGUAGAUAUAUGGAGGAACACCAGUGGCGAAGGCGGCUCUCUGGUCUGUAACUGACGCUGAGGCUCGAAAGCGUGGGGAGCAAACAGGAUUAGAUACCCUGGUAGUCCACGCCGUAAACGAUGAGUGCUAAGUGUUGGAGGGUUUCCGCCCUUCAGUGCUGCAGCUAACGCAUUAAGCACUCCGCCUGGGGAGUACGACCGCAAGGUUGAAACUCAAAGGAAUUGACGGGGGCCCGCACAAGCAGUGGAGUAUGUGGUUUAAUUCGACGCAACGCGAAGAACCUUACCAGGUCUUGACAUCCUUUGACCACUCUAGAGAUAGAGCUUCCCCUUCGGGGGCAAAGUGACAGGUGGUGCAUGGUUGUCGUCAGCUCGUGUCGUGAGAUGUUGGGUUAAGUCCCGCAACGAGCGCAACCCUUAUUGUUAGUUGCCAUCAUUUAGUUGGGCACUCUAGCAAGACUGCCGGUGACAAACCGGAGGAAGGUGGGGAUGACGUCAAAUCAUCAUGCCCCUUAUGACCUGGGCUACACACGUGCUACAAUGGGAAGUACAACGAGUCGCAAAGUCGCGAGGCUAAGCUAAUCUCUUAAAGCUUCUCUCAGUUCGGAUUGUAGGCUGCAACUCGCCUACAUGAAGCCGGAAUCGCUAGUAAUCGCGGAUCAGCACGCCGCGGUGAAUACGUUCCCGGGCCUUGUACACACCGCCCGUCACACCACGAGAGUUUGUAACACCCGAAGUCGGUGAGGUAACCUUUUGGAGCCAGCCGCCUAAGGUGGGAUAGAUGAUUGGGGUG